rnacentral:rRNA from 1 species
AACGAACGCUGGCGGCAUGCCUAACACAUGCAAGUCGAACGAGACCUUCGGGUCUAGUGGCGCACGGGUGCGUAACGCGUGGGAACCUGCCCUUAGGUUCGGAAUAACUCCCCGAAAGGGGUGCUAAUACCGGAUAAUGUCUUCGGACCAAAGAUUUAUCGCCCUUGGAUGGGCCCGCGUUGGAUUAGCUAGUUGGUAGGGUAAAAGCCUACCAAGGCGACGAUCCAUAGCUGGUCUGAGAGGAUGAUCAGCCACACUGGGACUGAGACACGGCCCAGACUCCUACGGGAGGCAGCAGUGGGGGAUCUUGGACAAUGGGCGAAAGCCUGAUCCAGCAAUGCCGCGUGAGUGAUGAAGUCCUUAGGGUUGUAAAGCUCUUUUACCCGGGAUGAUAAUGACAGUACCGGGAGAAUAAGCUCCGGCUAACUCCGUG